rnacentral:rRNA from 1 species
UUCGCCCUUUUCCGGUUGAUCCCGCCGGACCUGACUGCUAUCGGAUUGAUACUAAGCCAUGCGAGUCAUUGUAGCAAUACAAGGCAGACGGCUCAGUAACGCGUAGUCAACCUAACCUAUGGACGGGAAUAACCUCGGGAAACUGAGUAUAAUGCCCGAUAGAACAUUAUGCCUGGAAUGGUUUAUGUUCCAAAUGAUUUAUCGCCAUAGGAUGGGACUGCGGCCUAUCAGUUUGUUGGUGAGGUAAUGGCCCACCAAGACUACUACAGGUACGGGCUCUGAGAGGAGUAGCCCGGAGAUGGGUACUGAGACACGGACCCAGGCCCUAUGGGGCGCAGCAGACGAGAAAACUUUGCAAUGUGCGAAAGCACGACAAGGUUAAUCCGAGUGGUUUCUGCUAAAGGAACCUUUUGUUAGUCUUAGAAACACUAACGAAUAAGGGGUGGGCAAGUUCUGGUGUCAGCCGCCGCGGUAAAACCAGCACCUCAAGUGGUCAGGAUGAUUAUUGGGCCUAAAGCAUCCGUAGCCGGCUCUGUAAGUUUUCGGUUAAAUCUGUACGCUCAACGUACAGGCUGCCGGGAAUACUGUAGAGCUAGGGAGUGGGAGAGGUAGACGGUACUCGGGAGGAAGGGGUAAAAUCCUUUGAUCUCUCGAUGACCACCUGUGGCGAAGGCGGUCUACCAGAACACGUCCGACGGUGAGGGAUGAAAGCUGGGGGAGCAAACCGGAUUAGAUACCCGGGUAGUCCCAGCCGUAAACUAUGCAAACUCAGUGAUG